rnacentral:tRNA from 1 species
GCAUCUGUAGCUCAGCGGCAGAGCACUGGUCUUGUAAACCAGGGGUCAUGAGUUCAAUCCUCACAGGAAGCA